GAUCCUGGCUCAGGACGAACGCUGGCGGCGCGCCUAACACAUGCAAGUCGAACGAGAGAGAGGAAGCUUGCUUCCUUGAUCGAGUGGCGAACGGGUGAGUAACGCGUGAGGAACCUGCCUCAAAGAGGGGGACAACAGUUGGAAACGACUGCUAAUACCGCAUAAGCCCACGACCCGGCAUCGGGAAGGGGGAAAAGGAGCAAUCCGCUUUGAGAUGGCCUCGCGUCCGAUUAGCUAGUUGGUGAGG
rnacentral:rRNA from 1 species